AAAUCGUACCCCAAACCGACACAGGUGGUCAGGUAGAGAAUACCAAGGCGCUUGAGAGAACUCGGGUGAAGGAACUAGGCAAAAUGGUGCCGUAACUUCGGGAGAAGGCACGCUGAUAUGUAGGUGAAGUGAUUUACUCAUGGAGCUGAAAUCAGUCGAAGAUACCAGCUGGCUGCAACUGUUUAUUAAAAACACAGCACUGUGCAAACACGAAAGUGGACGUAUACGGUGUGACGCCUGCCCGGUGCCGGAAGGUUAAUUGAUGGGGUUAUCCGUAAGGAGAAGCUCUUGAUCGAAGCCCCGGUAAACGGCGGCCGUAACUAUAACGGUCCUAAGGUAGCGAAAUUCCUUGUCGGGUAAGUUCCGACCUGCACGAAUGGCGUAAUGAUGGCCAGGCUGUCUCCACCCGAGACUCAGUGAAAUUGAACUCGCUGUGAAGAUGCAGUGUACCCGCGGCAAGACGGAAAGACCCCGUGAACCUUUACUAUAGCUUGACACUGAACACUGGUCCUUGAUGUGUAGGAUAGGUGGGAGGCUUUGAAGUGUGGACGCCAGUCUGCAUGGAGCCAACCUUGAAAUACCACCCUUUAAUGGCUGGUGUUCUAACGUAGACCCGUGAUCCGGGUUGCGGACAGUGUCUGGUGGGUAGUUUGACUGGGGCGGUCUCCUCCUAAAGAGUAACGGAGGAGCACGAAGGUUAGCUAAUCCUGGUCGGACAUCAGGAGGUUAGUGCAAAGGCAUAAGCUAGCUUGACUGCGAGAGUGACGGCUCGAGCAGGUGCGAAAGCAGGUCUUAGUGAUCCGGUGGUUCUGAAUGGAAGGGCCAUCGCUCAACGGAUAAAAGGUACUCCGGGGAUAACAGGCUGAUACCGCCCAAGAGUUCAUAUCGACGGCGGUGUUUGGCACCUCGAUGUCGGCUCAUCACAUCCUGGGGCUGAAGUAGGUCCCAAGGGUAUGGCUGUUCGCCAUUUAAAGUGGUACGCGAGCUGGGUUUAGAACGUCGUGAGACAGUUCGGUCCCUAUCUGCCGUGGGCGCUGGAGAAUUGAGGGGGGCUGCUCCUAGUACGAGAGGACCGGAGUGGACGCAUCACUGGUGUUCGGGUUGUCAUGCCAAUGGCAUUGCCCGGUAGCUAAAUGCGGAAGAGAUAAGUGCUGAAAGCAUCUAAGCACGAAACUUGCCCCGAGAUGAGUUCUCCCUGACCCUUUAAGGGUCCUGAAGGAACGUUGAAGACGACGACGUUGAUAGGUCGGGUGUGUAAGCGUAGCGAUACGUUGAGCUAACCGAUACUAAUGAACCGUGAGGCUUAACCUU
rnacentral:rRNA from 1 species